ACUCCUACGGGAGGCAGCAGUGGGGAAUAUUGCACAAUGGGCGCAAGCCUGAUGCAGCCAUGCCGCGUGUAUGAAGAAGGCCUUCGGGUUGUAAAGUACUUUCAGCAGUGAGGAAGGUAGUGUAGUUAAUAGCUGCAUUAUUUGACGUUAGCUGCAGAAGAAGCACCGGCUAACUCCGUGCCAGCAGCCGCGGUAAUACGGAGGGUGCGAGCGUUAAUCGGAAUUACUGGGCGUAAAGCGCAUGCAGGUGGUUUGUUAAGUCAGAUGUGAAAGCCCGGGGCUCAACCUCGGAAUAGCAUUUGAAACUGGCAGACUAGAGUACUGUAGAGGGGGUAGAAUUUCAGGUGUAGCGGUGAAAUGCGUAGAGAUCUGAAGGAAUACCGGUGGCGAAGGCGGCCCCCUGGACAGAUACUGACACUCAGAUGCGAAAGCGUGGGGAGCAAACAGGAUUAGAUACCCUGGUAGCUACG
rnacentral:rRNA from 1 species